CCCGCCCUACGGGGGGCAGCAGUGAGGAAUAUUGGUCAAUGGGAGAGAUCCUGAACCAGCCAAGCCGCGUGAGGGAAGACGGCGCUAUGGGUUGUAAACUUCUUUUGUCGGAGAACAAAACCCGGGACGAGUCCCGGACUGCGUGUAUCCGAAGAAAAAGCAUCGGCUAACUCCGUGCCAGCAGCCGCGGUAAUACGGAGGAUGCGAGCGUUAUCCGGAUUUAUUGUGUU
rnacentral:rRNA from 1 species